rnacentral:rRNA from 1 species
GAUGAACGCUGGCGGCGUGCCUAAUACAUGCAAGUCGAGCGAACGGACGAGAAGCUUGCUUCUCUGAUGUUAGCGGCGGACGGGUGAGUAACACGUGGAUAACCUACCUAUAAGACUGGGAUAACUUCGGGAAACCGGAGCUAAUACCGGAUAAUAUUUUGAACCGCAUGGUUCAAAAGUGAAAGACGGUCUUGCUGUCACUUAUAGAUGGAUUCGCGCUGCAUUAGCUAGUUGGUAAGGUAACGGCUUACCAAGGCAACGAUGCAUAGCCGACCUGAGAGGGUGAUCGGCCACACUGGAACUGAGACACGGUCCAGACUCCUACGGGAGGCAGCAGUAGGGAAUCUUCCGCAAUGGGCGAAAGCCUGACGGAGCAACGCCGAGUGAGUGAUGAAGGUCUUCGGAUCGUAAAACUCUGUUAUUAGGGAAGAACAUAUGUGUAAGUAACUGUGCACAUCUUGACGGUACCUAAUCAGAAAGCCACGGCUAACUACGUG